rnacentral:tRNA from 1 species
UAAACUAAGCCUUAGUGGCAAUAUUAUUUACAAUAAUAUUUAGAUUUGUGCGAUUCAAUCUAGUUUAA